rnacentral:lncRNA from 1 species
AUUAUCAAUUAUACAUAUCUUAUUCAAAUUUCCUCAAUUUCCCAUUAAAGAUGGUUUUCUAUUUUUAUCAUUACUUCUAUUUUUAGUUUAUUAUUUGGAUUUCUAUGUGAGGAAGAGCUUUCCUUCUAUUUGAGUUUUUAAUUUAACCAUUCGUUUAUUCAUUUACUUACAUAACAAUAUGGACUCAUACUCCUAUAUGCAUUUUUCAAUUUUUUAAGGUAUAGCCCAUUUACUAUGUUGUGCCAAUUUCUGCUGUGCAUAAAAGUGACCCAGUCAUACAUAUAAAUACAUUCCUUUUCUUAUAUUAUCUUCCAUCAUGGUCUAUCCCAAGAGACUGGAUAUAGUUCCCUGUAAUAUACAGUAGGACCUCAUUGUUUAUCUAUUCUAAAUGUAAUACAUUGCAUCUACUAACCCCCAAACCCCAGUCCAUCCCACUCCCUCCUCCUCCCCCUUGGCAACUACAAGAUUGUUCUCCAUGUCUGUGAGUCGUGUUUGUGUCAUAGAUAGGUUCAUUUGUUCCAUAUUUUAGAUUACACAUAUAAGUGGUACCAUUUGGUAUUUAUCUUCCCCUUUCUGACUUACUUCACUUAGUAUAAGAGUCUCUAGUUCCAUCCAUGUUGCUGCAAACAGCAUGAUUUCAUUCUUUUUAAUGGCUGAGUAUUAUUCCAUUGUUCUUAAUGAAACAUCUUAAUCCAUUCAUUUGCUAAUGGACAUUUAGGUUGCUUCCAUGUCUUGGCUAUUUUGAAUAGUGCUGCAAUGAAAGUAUGGGUACAUGUAUCUUUUUGAAUUAUAGUUUUUUCCAGAUAUAUGCCCAGGACUAUUUAGUUUUCUAAAGAGCCUCCAUAUUGUUUUCCAUAGUCGUUGUACCAAUUUACAUUUCCAUCAACAGUGUAGGGGGGUUCUCUUUUCUCCACACCCUCUCCAGCAUUUGUCAUUUGUAGACUUAUUAAUGAUAGUCAUUCUGACCAGUGUGAGAUGGUACCUCAUUGUAAUUUUGAUUUGCAUUUCACUAUGAGUGAUGUUGAGCAUCUUUCCAUGUGCCUAGUGGCCAUCCAUGUAUCUUCUUUGGAUAAAUGUCUAUUUAGGUCUUCUGACCAUUUUUUGACUGGUUGUUUGUUUUUUGGUUGUUUACUAUUGAGUUGUAUGAGUUGCUUAUAUAUUUUUGGAAAUUAAGCCCUUGUCAGUUGCAUCAUUUGCAACUGUUUCUUCCAUUCUGUAGGUUGUUGUUAUAGUUUUUUUAUGGUUUCCUUUGCUGUGCAAAAGUUUUUAAGUUCGAUUAGGUCCCAUUGGUUUAUUUGUGUUUUUAUUUCUAUUGCCUUGGGAGACUGACCUAAGAAAACAUUUGUAUGGUUGAUGUCAGAGAAUGUUUUAUCUGUCUUCUCUUGGAAGAGUUUUGUGGUGUUGUACCUUAUUUUUAAGUCUUAGAGCCAUUUUGAAUUUAUCUUUUGUACAUGGCAUGAUCCAUGAAAAUCAGUGAAACUAGAAGGUAUGUUCUAGUUUCAUUGAUUUACAUGCAGCUCUCCAGUUUUCCUGGUACCACCUGAUAAAGAGACUUUUUCCUAUUUUAUAGUCUUGCCUCCUUUGUCAAAGAUUAAUUGACUGUAGGUGUCUGGGUUUAUUUCUGGGCUCUCUAUUCUGUUCAAUUGAUCAGUAUGUCUGUUUUUGUACCAGUACCACACUGUCUGAUUACUGUGGCUUUGCAAUUUUAUCUGAAGUCAGGGAGUGUUAAGCCUCCUGCUUUGCUUUUUUUCCUCAGAAUUGCUUAGGCUUCCAUAUAAAUUUUGGAUUGUUUAUUCUAGUUCUAUAAAAAAUGUCAUGGGUAAUUUCAUAGGGAUUGUAUCAGCUCUAUACAUUGCUUUGGUUAGUAUGGCCAUUUUAACAAUAUUAAUUCUUCCAAUCCAGGAGCAUGGGAUAUCUUUCCAUUUCUUUGAAUCCUCUUUACUUUCCUUGAUUAAUGUUUUUAACUUCUCAGCCUAUAAAUCUUUCACUUCCUUGGUCAGGUUUAUCCCUAAGGAUUUUGGGGGGUGUGAUUUUAAAAGGCAUUUUUUAUAUUCCUUUUAUAAUAUUUCACUGUUAAUAUCAGAAAUGAAACUGAUUUCUUCUGAAUGUUAAUCUUAUAUCCUGAUACUCUGCUGAAUUCAUUUAUCAGAUUGAACAUUUUUUGUGUGAAUUCCUUAGAGCUUCCUACAUAUAAUAUCAUGUCAUCUGCAGAUAGUGACAAUUUUACCUCCUCUUUUCCAAGAUACCUUUUCUUUUUCUUUUCUUUUUUGUCUGAUUACUGUGGCUAGGACUUCCAGUACUAUGUUGAAUUAAAGUGGUGAGAGUUGGCAUUCUUGGCUUAUUCCAGAUUUUAGUGAGGUUCCUAUUUUAUUUUAUGGUUUUAAUAUAUUAUAAUUUUAGUGAUUUUAUUAUCCAAAUUAUCCCAGACUUGGUCAAUGAAUGUCCUUUCUAGUUAUAUCCUGUAUCCUUCGGAAAUAUCCAUAUCACUUUUGAGCAAUCCCUUACUUUUUGGUAUAGGCUCAUCUUUUCAUUUCCCUGCCCCAGGCCUAUUAGUAUCAGUCAUUUCUUCAAGGAGCCUGGGCUUACUUUAACUGAAGAAUAGUAUUUAAAAAUCAAUAUCUGAGUGCUAAAUGUGCUUGUGACACUGGAAUGGCAUUGCUUUGGGGUCUUUUCAGCAGACAGAGCUAGGAAAUUUUUUAUGUAUGAAUAUAUGUACACAACUAUAUCAACUUCUAUAUAUUCUAUGAAUUCAUAUUAAUAUUUACAAUUUCAGUCAUACAUCCAGAAUGUAUUUCAUUCUUCCCCCUUUCCUUGUUUAUAACCCCUUUUUUUCCAGCAAUGUGUGUGUACUUAUUUGUUCAAUUCCAGAAUACACAAAAAGUAGUUUCAGAAUUCUUAAUCUGGAGUUCCCAACGUGGCGCAGUGGUUAACAAAUCUGACUAGGAACCAUGAGGUUGCGGGUUAGGUCUCUGGCCUUGCUCAGUGGGUUAAGGAUCUGGCAUUACCGUGAGCUGUGGUGUAAGUUGCAGACAUGGCUCUGGUGUAGGCCAGCAGCUACAGCUCUGAUUAAACCCCUAGCCUGGGAACCUCCAUAUCCCAUGGGAGUGGCCCUAGAAAAG